rnacentral:rRNA from 1 species
ACAGCAGCAGCCACGGGAAUACAGAGGGUGCGAGCGUUAAUCGGAUUUACUGGGCGUAAAGCGUGCGUAGGCGGCUUCUUAAGUCGGAUGUGAAAUCCCUGAGCUUAACUUAGGAAUUGCAUUCGAUACUGGGAAGCUAGAGUAUGGGAGAGGAUGGUAGAAUUCCAGGUGUAGCGGUGAAAUGCGUAGAGAUCUGGAGGAAUACCGAUGGCGAAGGCAGCCAUCUGGCCUAAUACUGACGCUGAGGUACGAAAGCAUGGGGAGCAAACAGGAUUAGAGACCCCCGUAGUCCCUGUCUCUUAUAC